rnacentral:rRNA from 1 species
AUACGGAGGGUGCAAGCGUUACUUGGAAUCACUGGGCGUAAAGCGCGCGCAGGCGGCUAUUUAAGUUGGAUGUGAAAGCCUACGGCUCAACCGUAGAACUGCAUCCAAAACUAUUUAGCUAGAGUGUGGGAGAGGAAGAUGGAAUUUGUUGUGUAGGGGUAAAAUCCGUAGAGAUAACUAGGAAUACCAAAAGCGAAGGCAAUCUUCUGGAACACUACUGACGCUGAGGCGCGAAAGCGUGGGGAGCAAACGGGAUUAGAAACCCCAGUAGUCC